GCACAGCCAACUAGACUACUGUUUUGCCCCACCAAGUGCUGUCUCUCAAGUGACUGGAUGUACCCUUCACAACAUCUGUGCUUGAGUAGCUUUGCAAUAAGUUAUUCUGGGGAGGACCAAAGCUUGAACAAACAACUGACCUGACUGACCCUGCUGCAGGUAGGAGACAGCAUACCAGGAGAGAAAUGGGGACACCUUAGGUACAAAAACUGAGAAGCUCCCAAAGCACUUUGUGGAACAUUGGCUCGGACCCUCUGCCACUCCCUGCAACCAGGCACAUUCCUGAGAUGGAUGGUGGACUAGGGAGGGGAAAGGCUUUCCUCACGCUGAUAAAAAGAUCAUGGAAGAGAAAGUUCCCCAGGAGUUUUAAGUUCAGCUGUAAACAACAGUUUUCAUUUAAAACAGGGCAUGUGCCAGGGGUGACUGGUGCCUCCUGAGUCUGUAGGGCAGGGAUCGGGCACAAUUUGGGGGUGGGCCUGGGGGCGGGCCAACAGCCCCAUAUCAACUCCUAUACUUCUGUGCCGCCGCUUAGUGCCCCCCUUCCCACCCCGCCAACAUGCUGUUGGCCCACAUGGCAAAAAAACUGCCUCAUCCUGAGUCGGGGGCCAAUCUCAAGGGGGGCAUGUGCCCCCUCCAUCAGUCACCUCUGGCAUGUGCAGACUCCUUGGGUCUGGUUCUUUUCUCACUUCUACCAAAUGAACAUGAGCAAGAGGAUCACUGUCCAGCCAACAGGUUCUCCUUGACAGCAGAUGAAUAGGUAAGUGUCACUUGAACUAUAGAAGUAAUAGAAGAAAAUGAGUUUGUUAUUGCAGAACUAGGCUGAACUAUUAUCCAUGUUGUCUCUAUUGAUUUGGCCCCAGGUGAAAGAAGGCACUUGAAGUCUGACAAGGGCAAUCGUUCAAACAACAAAUCAUCCAAAACUACGCUCUGUCUUCGCCAGUUGUCUUUUA